GACGAACGCUGGCGGCGUGCUUAACACAUGCAAGUCGAACGGGCCUGUCUUCUUUUUUGGGGGUGGGUUGAGUGGCGAACGGGUGAGUAUCACGUGAGUAACCUGCCCUUCGGUCCUGGAUAACCGCUUGAAAGGGCGGCUAAUACGGGGUGGUCCGGUUGGUCCGCAUGGGCUGGUCGGGAUAGAUUCACUGUUUUUGGUGUUUCGGCGGGGGAUGGGCUCGCGGCCUAUCAGCUUGUUGGGGGGGUGAUGGCCUACCAAGGCGGUGACGGGUAGCCGGCAUGGGCGGGUGAGCGGCCACACUGGGGCUGGGUUACGGCCCAGGGUCCUGCGGCAGGCAGCAGUGGGGGGUGUUACACAACGGGCGGGAGCCUGAUGCAGCGACGUCGCGUGAGAGGUGGAGGCCUUCGGGUAGUGAACCUCUGUUUCCGGUGGUGAAGGCCCUGUCCGUGUGGUGAGGUUGACGGUAGCCGGGGAUGAAGCGCCGGCUAACUACGUG
rnacentral:rRNA from 1 species